rnacentral:SRP_RNA from 1 species
UGCCAGGGCCCAUGAGAUGCGGACUUACGAACCCCGCCAGGGCAGGAAUGCAGCAACGGUAGUUUGCUCGGCAUAUGUCGUGGUCACCCUGGCAUUU